GUGGCGCAAUUGGUAGCGCAACGGUCUCCAAAACCGUAGGUUGUGGGUUCGAAUCCCGCCUGCC
rnacentral:tRNA from 1 species